AUUGAACGCUGGCGGCAGGCCUAACACAUGCAAGUCGAGCGGAUGAACGGAGGUGGCUGCUGUAUGCAUGGGCGGACGGGGGAGGAAGGCCUAUGAAUCGGCCUGUGAGUAGUGGAGGACGUCAGGAAACGGGAGCUAAUGCUACAUACGUCCUCGAGCUGAAGGUGAGGGAGGGUGGGAGCUCGCGCUAUCGCGUGAGCCUAGGUCGGAUUAGCUAGUUGGUGGGGUAAAGGCCUACCAAGGCGACGAUCCGUAACUGGUCUGAGAGGAUGAUCAGCCACACUGGAACUGAGACACGGUCCAGACUCCUACGGGAGGCAGCAGUGGGGAAUAUUGGACAAUGGGCGAAAGCCUGAUCCAGCCAUGCCGCGUGUGUGAAGAAGGUCUUCGGAUUGUAAAGCACUUUUAGUUGGGAGGAAGGGCAGCAAGCUAAUACCUUGCUGUUUUGACGUUACCCAAAGAAUAAGCACCGGCUAACUUCGUG
rnacentral:rRNA from 1 species